UGCCAGCCGCCGCGGUAAUACGGAGGGUGCAAGCGUCGUUCGGAAUUAUUGGGCGUAAAGCGUGCGCAGGCGGUUUCGUAAGUCAUUUGUUAAAUCUUCAGGCUCAACCUGGAGGCAGCAGGUGAUACUGCGAGACUAGAGGAUAGGAGAGGAAGACGGAAUGCCCGGUGUAGGGGUAAAAUCCGUUAAGAUCGGGUAGAACACCAAAUGCGAAAGCAGUCUUCUGGAACAUUCCUGACGCUGUUGCACGAAAGCGUAGGUAGCGAAUCGGAUUAGAUA
rnacentral:rRNA from 1 species